rnacentral:rRNA from 1 species
UACAGAGGUCCCAAGCGUUGUUCGGAUUCAUUGGGCGUAAAGGGUGCGUAGGCGGCGGAGCAAGUCUGAUGUGAAAUCCCGGGGCUCAACCCCGGAACUGCAUUGGAUACUGCCUUGCUCGAGUACUGGAGAGGGAACUGGAAUUUACGGUGUAGCAGUGAAAUGCGUAGAGAUCGUAAGGAAGGCCAGUGGCGAAGGCGAGUUCCUGGACAGUUACUGACGCUGAGGCACGAAGGCCAGGGGAGUAAACGGG